ACUCAAAUGAAUUGACGGGGGCCCGCACAAGCAGUGGAGUAUGUGGUUUAAUUCGAAGCAACGCGAAGAACCUUACCAGGGCUUGACAUCCCGCGCAUAUCUAAGAGAUUAGAGAAGUCCUUCGGGACGCGGUGACAGGUGGUGCAUGGUUGUCGUCAGCUCGUGUCGUGAGAUGUUGGGUUAAGUCCCGCAACGAGCGCAACCCCUGUUGUUAGUUGCCAUCAUUUAGUUGGGCACUCUAGCAAGACUGCCGGUGACAAAUCGGAGGAAGGUGGGGACGACGUCAAAUCAUCAUGCCCCUUAUGUCCUGGGCUACACACGUACUACAAUGGCUAAAACAGAGGGAAGCAAGAGGGCAACCUGGAGCGAAUCCCCAAAAUUAGUCCCAGUUCGGAUUGUGGGCUGAAACCCGCCCACAUGAAGUCGGAAUUGCUAGUAAUGGCAGGUCAGCAUACUGCCGUGAAUACGUUCCCGGGCCUUGCACACACCGCCCGU
rnacentral:rRNA from 1 species